rnacentral:rRNA from 1 species
GACGAACGCUGGCGGCGUGCUUAACACAUGCAAGUCGAGCGAGAAAGCGGCUUCGGCCGUGAGUACAGCGGCGAACGGGUGAGUAACACGUGGGCAACCUGCCCCAGAGACUGGGAUAACGUCCCGAAAGGGACGCUAAUACCGGAUAACGCGUGGCCUGCCAAGUGGGCCACGCCAAAAGGUAGCUUCGGCUUCUGCUCUAGGAUGGGCCCGCGCCGGAUUAGCUUGUUGGUGAGGUAACGGCUCACCAAGGCGACGAUCCGUAGCUGGUCUGAGAGGACGAUCAGCCACACUGGGACUGAGACACGGCCCAGACUCCUACGGGAGGCAGCAGUGGGGAAUCUUGCGCAAUGGGCGAAAGCCUGACGCAGCAACGCCGCGUGAGCGAAGACGGCCUUCGGGUUGUAAAGUUCUGUCAGGAGGGACGAAGCCACUCAGGUGAAUAGCCGAGAGGGUGACGGUACCUCCAGAGGAAGCCCCGGCUAACUACGUGCCUGCAGCCGCCGCGG